rnacentral:rRNA from 1 species
UACUUGGGUGGCGACCGGCGCACGGGUGAGUAACGCGUAUCCAACCUGCCGAUGACUCGGGGAUAGCCUUUCGAAAGAAAGAUUAAUACCCGAUGGCAUAGUUCUUCCGCAUGGUAGAACUAUUAAAGAAUUUCGGUCAUCGAUGGGGAUGCGUUCCAUUAGGUUGUUGGCGGGGUAACGGCCCACCAAGCCUUCGAUGGAUAGGGGUUCUGAGAGGAAGGUCCCCCACAUUGGAACUGAGACACGGUCCAA